GUCUGUGUCCUCAUCCCUGGGACCUGUGACUCUAUCAUGUUUCAUGGCAUGGAGGAAUUAUCUUUGGAGAUGAAAUUAAGGUUGCUAAUCAGCUUGCUUUAAAAUACAGAGGUUACCCAGGUGAGCCCAGUGCCAUCACAAGGAUGCUUAUACAGGAGAAGAGCAGAGCAGAAGAGUUAAGGGCCAGAGAGAUAACAUUGUGAGAUGCAACUCAAUCGCUGGCUCUGAAGAUGGAAGGGGCCCUGGGAAGGGAUGGAGUAUAAGCAGUUUCUAGAAGCUUGGAAGUGCAAGAAAAUGGAUUCUCCCCCAGAGCCGUCACACAACCCUGCCAACACCUUGACUUUAGCCCAGUGAGGCCCAUUUUGGACUUCUGUCCUCCAGAACUCGAAGAUAAUAAAUUUGUGUUGUUUUAAGCCACUGGAUUCGUGAUCAUUUGUUACAGCAGCAUCAGAAAACUAAUACCCCUGGAAAGUUGCUAAAGAGGCAGAUUCUCUGGCCACUUUCCAGACCUACUGAAUCAGGAAAUCUGAGGGUGGGGCCCCGCAGUUUGUCUUUAAACAAGCCUGGAGGUGAUUCUGAUGCAGGCUAAGAUUUGAGAACCAUGCACUAGACCAAGCAAUCACAAUUAUUUCCCCAAAGCAAACACACUCAGAUACAGACUCCCCAUGAAAACUCAACACUGACAAUUAACGACUUGAUUAACCAUGAUAAAAUCUACCAGCGCCAUGUCCUGCCUUGACAAGCACAGAAUCGGAAACCCAACCAAAGCAUUGGUGAUUUAGAUUCCCUCCCAGCUCAGGGUCUUCAUUUGGAAUACCGGUAAUGAAUGUGUCCUAGUCCCUGGAAGCUCCUUUUUAAAUUCACUCCUAACGCCAAAAAGACUUUUAUUGGAGGUGGAGUCACUUGGCUCUUUCUCACUAAACUUAAGUAACAGGGGGGAAAUGUGAGUAGGGGAGCAUCCCAGAAAAUUGUGGAUUUAUGAUGGCCUAUUCCAGGAAGAGGCAAACUUGAUCCCAUAGAUUCAUAGACAUGGGCUUCUUAUAGACUAUGAAGUUGGCUCCUCCAUCUAGAGUGUAGGUCCUGCUCGGCCCCACCACCAUAGCAUUGCCAAGUGGUCAGUCAGCCUCAGCUUGAAUAUCUCCAAUGAUGAGGAACUCACUACCUUCUGUGGCAAACUAUUCCAUUCUGAAAGGGCUCUAAGUGUGAGACCUAGAUUCCCUUCAUCUGACAGCUGGUUUUCUUUGGACCUCAUGCUUGAUUUCACUUUGGCCUACACUGGCUUCUUUGAAGUCUCAGGUGUACAUUCCCAGGCAAGCCUGAGAUGCGGCUAGGUUGCAGCCUCCACUACUUCCAUUGACUUGUUUUCUCAGCACUAUUAGCCUCUACUGACCUCAAAGGGAGGCAUGCGUGUGAGCCGGGCAGGAGGUAGACGUGGGCCCUGUUAAAGACAAAGUGCUUUAAAAGCCUUUGAUGAAAGGCAUUACGGCUUGAAAGGGUUGUUUCUGAAAUACUACACCUCCCUUUUAAGAACUGUUAAGGUCUGGAGGGUGAUACUCUCUCACCCCAGAAGAAUUCAAGCAUGAAUUUUCUUAGAGCCACCAAUUAAGAAUCCAAUUCCAUCUCUCCCCCAGAUGCUCAUUUCCACCAACAUUACCUAGUUGGAUCUUUUUUUUUUUUUUUUUGAGGAACAAACUAAACCAUGCUGGAAAUGUCUCAGAUAACCAUUAAAGAGUAAAUAACCAUUAGAUGGGACGAAUGAAGAUAUAAAAGCCCAAAGCUCUACUGAAUACACAUAGCUAUACCUAGAAAGAAAAUCCCAAGUCAUCCAAGUUUACUUUACCUAUUAAUUUAUUAAUCCAAUUAUUUUGUGCAUCGGCUAUAUGCCAGUCACUGAGAUAGGUAUCAGAAUACUGUGAUGAACUAGACCUGCCCUCUUGCCUAUAGAUGACAUCAACUCAUCUGUAGUCACAUGAUCCCAUGGCAUUCAAGUUCUGAUACUUCCAUCAUUUAUAAAAUAAUUCAAGGAAAUGUGGUUGUUGGAUUGAGUUGCACCUCGAUCCUUGAUUCAGAUGGCUAAAUGCUGUUAGGUAUUAUUUUUAGAGAAGGAAGCUAGAAAUGCAAGAUUAAAUAAUAGUCCUUGGAUUUUACAUUCAGUCCUUGGAUGCUGCAUGUUUAAAUACAUUUUUUUGUGUGUUUUGUGUGUGUGUGUGUUUUUUUGCCUUUUCUAGGGCCGCUCCUGUGGCAUACAGAGGUUCCCAGGCUAGGGGUCUAAUCAGAGCUGUAGCUGCCAGCCUAAGCCACAGCCACAGCAAUGCAGGAUCCGAGCCACAUCUACGACCUACGCCACAGCUCAUGGCAACGCCAGAUCCUUAACCCACUGAGCGAGGCGAGGGAUCAAACCCACAACCUUAUGAUUCCUAGUUGGAUUUGUUAACCACUGAGCCACUAUGGGAACUCCUAAAUACAUAUUUUAAUCCAUUGCUAAAUGUGUUUCUUUAUGGAAACAACUGAAGUAGGGUCCAAGAGUGACUUAUUUAACAGAAUGCAAUGGAUUUUUUUUUUUUCUUUCUACUGUCUCAAUGUUUAUGCCAUCCACACAGAGUUCAAACUCGCUGUCUAUUUUCACUGGAUAUCGGCAAUAAUUUGUGAGUCCUCAGUGUUCCUUGUAAUCCCUGCCAGCCACUGGGGCCUAGCCCCCCCCUCAUUCAACUUUUUAGAAAAAAAGGCAUGAACAACCAACUGCUGUCAAAGCACUAGCCCUUGCAUCACUACCCCGAGGUGUCAGCAUCAUCUGUGAAUUCUCCUACAUACCCAAUUCUGGGAGAUCAGAAGAUGCUUGAGACAUGUGAGUUCUUCUAUAAAAACAGAAAAAAAUGGCUCUUUUGGAUCAGGAUACGAGCUGUGACAGAGACUUCAAAAGCAUCUUUUGUAGGAUCAGAGUUGUCCUCUGUUGCAAACUCAAUAUUCAGAACUCAAACAAAACAAAACAAAACCUCUUCCCUCCAUAGCCAGCUCCAUCAACCAUAAACAUGUAACCCUUUACAGAUUUCUAUUUUCAGAGAUUGUUUCCAUUUUUGAGUAAUUAGACACAAAAUUGCAUCAUCCACUAUAUGAAGUGGGGCUUGCUUAUGCAAAGUUUACCUUUCCAAGUGUACGUUUUUAGAAAUUCAGGACUUCUGCGUCCUCUUCAUUAUUGUAUCCUCUCAGGCUUUACCUUUCUAGGCUGAAUUAAACUGAUCUUUUCAGCCUGUUUUCAUAAAAAUACAUCUCCUGCCUCACCCUUACCCUCUUCCAUCUCUCCACUCUCCCACAUUCAUGCUUUGAUCUUAUUUCUCUCUCCAUCACCUUUUUUUUUUUUUUUUUUUUUUUUUUCUGAAGGCUAAGUGCCUGGGCUCAAAGGCAGCAUCACAUUUGCAGGAGUGAACCCAUCUUUCGCUUCCAUGAUGGUAGAGCAGUGCUGUUUAGUUUCCAAUACCCUUAAAUAAUGACCAGAAUUUGGUGGCUUUUUGCAGCCAGUACCUUCACUGGCUCACAGGCCCUUUUCUAGAUUGUAUCUGGUAAUCCAGAGUCUGUUAUUUCACCUGAUUCAGUUAUUUCCCCACAAGUUCAAAAUCUUUAUUUUUGAAUAAGAAAAAUGAAGAAAUGUCAGGAUUUUCGUCACAUUGUGUUUUGAGAUGACACCCAGGCUAGAAGAAGCAAUGGCUGAUGUGCUCACUAAAGCAAACUGCCAUGUCACGCGGACACACAACAGCCCUGGGGGAAGGCGACGGAGACGGGCCCACACAGAGAGGAGACAUCUUGCCAGUGCCCCCUCGUGUGAGUGAGCCAUCUUAGAAGUGGGUCUUCCAGCCCCCCAGGAUUUGAGUCUUUCAGUGAGAUCACAGAAAACAUUGUGGAGCAGAGACAAGCCACGCAUCCUGUGCCCUCUCUGAAUUUCUGGCCCAGAUUAACUCUAUGAUAAUAAAUGACAACUGUUUUAAGAUAUGUGGCAUUUGGGUUAAUUUUCUGUACCACAGUUAAUAACCAUAUCAUGGUAUGUAGGUAUGAAAAAAACUUUUUUAAAAAAGCAAAAAAUAUACAAUUCAAAAAUCAAGACAGUAGCUACAUUUGCAGGGGAGGCAAAAGAAAAGGAUAAGAGGACACAAGUAAUUGCUCAGUAGUUGGUAAAGAUUGGCCUCUUGGUUGGAUGGCACGUUUUUAAUAGGCAAAUAGAUGAAUGAAUGGCUAGAUAGAUAGAUAGAUAGGGAAGACAUUGUAUGGUCCAAGGAUGAUAGUGUGUGGAUGAGUCAAGGAUUGCAUUUAAUUCAAUUUAAAUACCUGAGGCCCAAUGAUAAGGAAAGAGGAGAAGAGAGGGAGAGGGGAAUAGAAGGAGGAAGAAAGGAUGGAGGGAUGGAAGGAAGGAAGGCAGGAAAGAAGAGAGGGAGGGAGAAAGGAAGAAAAAGAGGAGAGAGUGAAGUUAUUAGUUAUUACCUAGUAAAAUUUGAACAUGUUCCUAUGCUUCAACCAACAUGUCCACCCCAAGUAUAUACCACCCUAGAGCAAUUCUUGCACCAGAGAGUAGGUACGAUAUUCACAGAGGCAUUUUAAAGAAGCAAAAAACUAGAAAUAUACUGGAUAUCCAGCAACUGUAAAAUGAAUAAAUGCAUGGUGAUUAGAGAGUGGAAUAUUAUACAGCAAUGAAUACUAAUCACCAUGGAAUAUUAUAUAGCAAUGAAUACUAAUCACCAACAUCAUGUAUCCCCACUCAACUUCAGGGAUAAACAUCCAGAGCUGAUAGAUAGGACAUUCCCAGAAACAGAAAUUUUCUAGACCAUGAUGUUGAGCAAAAGAAGCAGGACAAGAAAUGAUUCCAUUUCUAUGAAGUUAAACACAAACGAAACCAAAUAAUAUAUUGAUCAGAGAUACAUAUAUGUCUGUACAACUACAAUGAAAAGAAAAUAUGCAAAAUUUAGACUGGUGGCUGGGGAGAUGGAGAUUCAAUAGGAUAUAUAUGGGAGAUUCAACAGCAAUGGAAAUAUCCUCCUUCUUAAGCAGAGUUUGGGGAGAUCCACAGAUGUUCAUAUUUUUAUUAUUAAACUAUAUGUAGAUGCUGUACACACCCCUUUAUAGGUACCAUGAAUUUUAAAAAUAAAGAUGAAUGCAAAGCAAGAAAACAGGGAAUAAUAUCACGUAAAGGGACUUAAGCAGAAGAAUUUCCUUCUCACGUAGUGUAACUCCUUGUCUUUUUGAUGUCCCCAGAAUCAGGUAUACAAGAAGCCUCAGCAUCCCUGGUCUCAUCUUUGCCUCCUCAGAAUUAAAAAAAAAAAAA
rnacentral:lncRNA from 1 species